GGAGAGCUGGCCGAGUGGUCGAAGGCACCUGACUCGAAAUCAGGCAUACCGGCAACGGUAUCGUAGGUUCGAAUCCUACGCUCUCCGC
rnacentral:tRNA from 3 species